GCUUCUUCAAAAGCUCCCACACGAAUUGCUCGAUUCACUGGUCCAGACGAUUGGGUCUGUAGCUCAGUUGGUUGGAGCGCACCCCUCAUCAGGGAGAGGUCGGCAGUUCGAAUCUGCCCAGACCCACCAAUUGUUGGUGUGCUGCGAGAUCCGAUACGGGGCCAAAGCUCAGCUGGGAGAGCGCCUGCUUUGCACGCAGGAGGUCAGGAGUUCGAUCCUCCUUGGCUCCACCAUCAAAAACAAUCGUCGAAAGCUCAGAAAAGAAUGUUCGAAGAAGAACAUAGAUUUCUGGUCUUUGCACCAGAACUGUUCUUUCAAAAUUCGGGUAUGAGAAAGAAGUCAGACAGAACGAUCUCUUUCACUGGUCAUCAUUCAAGUCAAGGAAAAAUUUGCGAGUUCAAGCGCGAAUUUUCGGCGAAUGUCGUCUUCACAGUACAACCAGAUUGCUUGGGGUUAUAUAUGCUCA
rnacentral:tRNA from 1 species